GACGAACGCUGGCGGCGUGCUUAACACAUGCAAGUCGAACGAAGAGCGAUGGAAUCUUGCUUCUAUCAAUCUUAGUGGCGAACGGGAGAGGAACGCGUAAUCAACCUGCCCUUCAGAGGGGUACAACAGAUGGAAACGACUCCUAAUACCGCAUACGAUCUAAUCUCGGCAUCGAGGAAAGGUGAGAGGUCGCCUCUAUUUAUAAGCUAUCACUGAAGGAGGGGAUUGCGUCUGAUUAGCUAGUUGGAGGGGUAACGGCCCACCAAGGCGAGGAGCAGUAGCCGGUAUGAGAGGAGGAACGGCCAAAUUGGGACUGAGACACGGCCCAGACUCCUACGGGAGGCAGCAGUGGGGAAUCUUCCGCAAUGGACGAAAGUCUGACGGAGCAACGCCGCGUGAGUGGUGACGGCCUUCGGGUUGUAAAGCUCUGUUAAUCGGGACGAAAGGCCUUCUUGCGAACAGUUAGAAGGAUUGACGGUACCGGAAUAGAAAGCCACGGCUAACUACGUG
rnacentral:rRNA from 1 species